GGGGCCGUAGCCCAAUUGGCAGAGGCACACGGUUUAGGUCCGUGCCAGUGCGGGUUCGACUCCCGUCGGCCCCACCA
rnacentral:tRNA from 1 species